UUGGUUAAAACGUCUAAAACAAAAACUAUUAUCCAAUAACGUGAUGUAAUUUGUAUUCGACAAUAACACUACGAUUAAGCAAUAUGUCAACAAAAUAUUGAUUUCACAAUGUAUUCAUAUGCUAGUAUGUCCUCGGUGGCCGAGUAGUCCAAGUUGUCGAACUUAUGUAUUACCACCCUGUCAAAACUGAGGUUGAGAGUUCGAGUCCUGCACCAUGUACACAUGGUAGGUGCGCUUAACAUAAUUAACUUAAGGGAUAUUUACUUUGUUUUUCUUCCUAUGUCUUUUGGUUAUCUCUGGGCACUCCGGAUUCUCCAUCAAAACAUACGGACAGUCACGAAAUAUCAUAAUUGUGCUGAUAGUGACUUUACACAACAAUCUUUCAAUCAAUAUUUGUUAUCAAUAAAAUCGUUAUUUCGUUGAUUACUCAAAAGAUUUUGAACAAAGUUUAUGAUCAAACGUCCUUAA
rnacentral:lncRNA from 1 species